rnacentral:misc_RNA from 1 species
AUCCUACAUUCAAACUCAUUGGUGCUCCAAGCUAAUACCUUGGGCGUGCCUUGAGNUUCCUGUGCUGUGUUCCAAACGGAAAGAAUUGUCCCACGAAAAAUANUCGUUCGCCUUGUGCCACUCUGUGGCAUGAGGUGAACCCCGAAGUGCUUCUUGUUGUCCACAUCGCAAGUCUNNUANAAUUUUGGGCUGUUAUGUGGGCCACGGGUUGCUACUCGUUCUCUCGGAUGUGGAACCUUANUUUUGGGAUGGGGUCUUGUUGCUCCUUUUGCCCUAACUAAGCGUUCGUCGCUCGAUGCGUACGACUGUCGUGCUCGUCUUGAGAUGUUUGCGGAAACGCGGCCACUCUCAUGCGGGACCGAUGUCGUUGAGGAAUGCUACCUGGUUG